CCUACGGGUCGCAGCAGUGGGGAAUAUUGGACAAUGGGCGAGAGCCUGAUCCAGCAAUGCCGCGUGCGUGAAGAAGGUCUUCGGAUUGUAAAGCACUUUCGACGGGAACGAUGAUGACGGUACCCGUAGAAGAAGCCCCGGCUAACUUCGUGCCAGCAGCCGCGGUAAUACGAAGGGGGCUAGCGUUGCUCGGAAUGACUGGGCGUAAAGGGCGCGUAGGCGGUUUAUGCAGUCAGAUGUGAAAUCCCCGGGCUUAACCUGGGAACUGCAUUUGAGACGCAUAGACUAGAGGUCGAGAGAGGGUUGUGGAAUUCCCAGUGUAGAGGUGAAAUUCGUAGAUAUUGGGAAGAACACCGGUGGCGAAGGCGGCAACCUGGCUCGAUACUGACGCUGAGGCGCGAAAGCAUGGGGAGCAAACAGGAUUAGAUACCCGAGUAGUC
rnacentral:rRNA from 1 species